CCCAGAGUCACUAGGAGAAAUCACCAAAACUAAAGAUGAGUGCCCUGCCUUACUGCUUCCUUCUGUGGCUGCAGCUGCCUAACCUAGGUGAUGGGACUGCUUAUCUCCAUCCAUCACACAGGGAGCCUCUGGUACACAACAGGGGCCCCUUUGACUCAUCUGAGGUGAGUGGAGAGAGUUCUGUCUUCAGAAACUCUGCCUACAGCAAGAUCUUCCUACAAGUGCGAGCUGGGCAUCUACCCAGGACCUGCAACCAUGUGUGUAUGCAUGUUCCAUGCACGCUCCAUCUGGAUUUCUUCCAAUGCAAAGGUUUUCAGAGAACAAUUGCAAUUCAAAUGUAGAUGCAAAGUGUGACAGACUCAAAUGGUAAUCUUAGGGGUAGAAGGAUCAGAAUAUGUGUAAUCUCUGGCAUUUUUCUCCUUCAAUGCCUACUGUUUUUGUUUCACCAGGCAAUAACUUCCCCAUACAAUGGGAUUCUCAAAGCCUUGUAAUGACACAAAUUACAGUUUAGUUUCAGUCUGUUUCACAGUAUUGGUUCCAUUCUCAAAUGAACAGCUUCUCUGUGGAGUACAAUCUAACAGGCAAGCAUUUAUAUCUGAGAGCAUGUCCCACUGUCAGGACAGGGGGAUUUCUUGGCAGUACAUGGUACCUCUCAGACAUAGCUUGCAUCUGUGCCAGGAUGCUGUCUGGUCCCAGCCAGUAGGAUGCAUGAGUGACAGUAUUUGCAAGAUGCUUUGCCUGACUGAACUCUGGUAAUUUACUGUAAACUAACACUUUUGUGGUUAAAUGGUAUAUUUUUCUUUGCAGUAUUGAAAGAGAUACUUUGUUUAUCAGUGUAUACACACAUAUUGAGAGGAAGCGUCUGUAUGAUUUCAAAUAUCCCUAGGGUAAGAAAUGGCCCUUGUUUGAUUCACUGCCUAGCUCUCUGGAAGGGUUGACAUUUGGACUUACACAUCCUUUUAGCUCUUAGACUGAGCAUGCUACUCUUCGGCUUCUUCCCUCCUGCUCAGAUGGUGUUUCACUGCAGUAUGGGGACUGCUGUGAAUGGUAGCGAUGAGAAUCAUAGAAUCAUAGAAUGGCCUGGGUUGAAAAAGACUAUAAUGACCAUCUAGUUUCAAUCCCCCUGCUAUGUGCAGGGUUGCCAUCCAGUAGACCAGGCUUCCAGAGCCACGUCCAGCCUGGCCUUGAAUGCCUCCAGGGAUGGGGCAUCCACAACUUCCUUGGACAACCUGUUCCAGUGCGUCACCACCCUCUGUGUGAAAAACUUCUUCCUAAUAUCUAACCUAAACCUCCCCUGUCUCAGUUUAGAAACAUUCCCCCUUGUCCUAUCACUGUCCAUGUUUGCUGUGACUCCUGAUGAGCCUGGUCAUGCUGUGAAGGGAUAGCUACAGACUGGAACAGUUAUUCCAGUGUGAAAUGUCUUCCAAGCCUUCCUCCAUCUCAGCCUUUUCACUUCCUUUUCAACUAUUUCUUUGAUCGUGCUCCCCUUUUCAAAGAAAGAGAUAAAGGUAAAAUAAGCUUGAGAACUAACUGUGGGACUAAUAACAGCCAUUUACUACUAUUAUAUAAUUUGCUCUGCUUGUGUCUUACCCUUGCAUUUGUGUUGUUUAUUUAGAUUGCAAGCUCUUGAGGAUUGCUUGACUGUGAUGUUUGUACAAUACCAUGGUCUGGCUCUGCUUUUGCUUAAUUGUAAAUGACUCUCUUCAAAAACAUAGACAGAGUGUAAGAUCUCUUGCUCCUAGAGAGGAGAGCCAGGAAUCAUUGCUAUGGCACCUUCCACACCUGUCCUGUAAGCAAGAAAUAACUUUUCAGAGAUCUCAUUUAAUUCACUUUUCACAAUAGCUAAAUUUGCCACAAAAGAGAAGACCGCAACCGAGUUCUUCACUUCUCCUUGCCCCGUUUCUAAAUAAAGGAGAGGUAUCCUGACA
rnacentral:lncRNA from 1 species